UAUCAGCUUCAUGUUGAUCAGUAAAAGUAUUGUGGAGCUUCUUGAAUUAGUACUUCCACUUUUCUUGACAGAUUUACUUUGUAUUCAAACAUGUCACUUCACGUGCGGACUUGAUUCUUUUAUGAGCCAAACACGUGGAAGUUGUUUUUGUUCAUGGGCGACGAUGAGACUUUAACAGGAGUCAAUUAUGUGAUUGUAGUCAGGUUCAAUUUCCACCACCAUCUUUAUGAUGGUCCUACCUAAUGAUCUUAAUGUGUGCAUUGCAUAGUGCAGGUCCGAAUCACAAGUUAUCAAUAUCAAAUCUUUCUCUUCAUCUUCAUACCUGAUCGAAGAAAUUCCAACUAAUUUUAUUCUCUUUUCUACUUCUUCUUCCAAAUCCCUUUUCCCUGAUGAAAAUGAGAAUGGGAACCUCACUGUUCGAUUUCCAUAAGUUACCUUAACGCAUA
rnacentral:lncRNA from 1 species